rnacentral:rRNA from 1 species
GAUGAACGCUGGCGGCGUGCUUAACACAUGCAAGUCGAACGGAAAGGCCCAAGCUUGCUUGGGUACUCGAGUGGCGAACGGGUGAGUAACACGUGGGUGAUCUGCCCUGCACUUCGGGAUAAGCCUGGGAAACUGGGUCUAAUACCGGAUAGGACCACAUUUUGGAUGGUGUGGUGGAAAGUUUUUCGGUGUGGGAUGAGCUCGCGGCCUAUCAGCUUGUUGGUGGGGUAAUGGCCUACCAAGGCGUCGACGGGUAGCCGGCCUGAGAGGGUGUACGGCCACAUUGGGACUGAGAUACGGCCCAGACUCCUACGGGAGGCAGCAGUGGGGAAUAUUGCACAAUGGGCGCAAGCCUGAUGCAGCGACGCCGCGUGGGGGAUGACGGCCUUCGGGUUGUAAACUCCUUUCGCUAGGGACGAAGCGCGAGUGACGGUACCUGGAGAAGAAGCACCGGCUAACUACGUG